GGGCUAGUGGCGGAAUUGGCAUACGCGCACGCCUUAAGAGCGUGUGAGGUAAUUCCUUGUGUGGGUUCGAGUCCCGCCUAGCCCA
rnacentral:tRNA from 2 species